GCAGGUGGCAAGUUGAGACAAGCGGAGCCCCACCAGGAAAAAAAUCCUAGGGCGCACCUUGGAGGUUCGUCUAUCCUCCCUGCCCCUGCGGGGACAGAGAACUCGUCUGGCUGGCUCGCCAAAAUGUUUUGCGGAAGAAAGAAGAAACUUCACAACUUUAUAAAAGUUGUAAAGCUCGACCUAGUGUUGCAGUAAGUACACAGGCAGACUUUUACAUCUCCAAGUGGGGAGAAGACUUACAUCUGUCUGCAGUGGGUAGUAACUGGAACAAAACACCCUGACACAGGAGGGAACAGACUAGGAGGUAGGAAAUGUCGCCCUGGAGAUUCUGUAAAGGAGAAGGAGAUGGAACUCACACAUCACGCACUUAUGUUGCAUCACCUGCUCUUUAUGUAAAAACGAAGCUGCACAAAAGCUGACAUUUCUGGGAAGUUAUCUUUUUAAAUUUCUUUAUAAAUAAUCAGCAUUAGUGGGACAUGCUCUGCCAAAUCAAAUAUUUGCAGUUCUCCUCUUUAUAUCUCUUAUUUUUGCAUGUUUUCACUAAAAAACCUGAAUGUGAAUUUGGUCCACUAAAAAUUAAGUUUGGCUUUUGUUGAUGUCUUGAAUACGUCAGGAGGCUCUGCAGCCAUCAGCCGUCAGCCUUGUCCCUUCUCUGCGCUGUGCCGUGGACAUUCCUGUGCCAUUUGCUCCCUUAUCUUGCUGAUUGCUGAUUCUGACCUUGCUGAUAAGACUCACAGGCUUGGACCUGGACCUCUUUUGCCCCUGUGGAUUCACAUGGGCACCACAGGGCCAACUUACCCAAGCUUGUCUCCUCUGAUGACUCCUGCCAGACUGCACCCUUGUUGGUGAGGACACCAGUUCCCCCUGCCUCACUCUCAUCAUUGGAUUUAGCUUACAUUUUUCUUCAUGAAACUGCCCAGCCUUCCUGUGCACUGGUUUAUGCUUGUUGUCAUUUUGUUUAGGUUUAUUUAUUUACAAUUAUUAUUCAGGAGAGAGCUGCUCAGCUGAAGCUAAAAGGUCAAUUUAUGGAGAUUGAGUUCUUCUUAUUCCCAAUUCAGCAACUUAGCAAAAAGCUUAUUAGAUGCUUAGUGAAUAAAGUAUUGCUCAGUGGGGUGUUGAUCUGCAUUAAGUCUCUUAUUAAAAUCAGCUUUAGGAAAGAAUGGAAAAACUUGCUAUUUUUCUACAGAAAAUGAAAUUUCAUAAACAUUUGCACUGCAAAAAUCUCUGGAGAUUUUUGGCAAAAUCUCCAAAGUUUAGUAGAUAUGUAAAAUAAACAAAGUGGGUGGAAAAAAUAAACAAACCUGGCAUAAGAUAAAUUUGGAAUGAAUAUAAAUAUUUUUUACUCUCAAAGUACAAGUACUCCAUUGAAGACAAGGCAGUUGACAUUUAUUGUACAAUAGGCAUGAGCUGCACAAAGUCUAAUAUUUUACCCUAAAUAUUCUGAAAGAAGGAAUAAUCAUGAUGAAUCAAAACAAUGGUUAGUAAAAAGCAGUUGCCCUCCUAUCACUGGUGAUAAUGAUACACAGGGGUUUCUCCAAGCAUCAGUACAGAACAGUGUAAUGACAAACUUCACCUUUCAAUAUUUUUUUCCAGAGUUUUUUACAAAUAAGCAUAUUUACAAGGAUUGUGAUCUUAGGACUGAGCUUCUGGAUAAAACAGAGGAUUCUCAGCUCUUGCUUUGUUUUAUGCCAGCAGUUUGAAAAAGAAGCAGAUCAAAACCAUUCUGACACACUGCCACUGAAUGAGUAUUCUGCUCGUCUAUGCUGUAAAGCUAUCUAAAAUAUCAAAAAACUCUUUUUGAUUUAAAAAACAAGGAAAUUUUUGAGGGUUUGAUGCUUGUGUGUUGAACAGGUCUUAAAUACUUUCGGAGCAAUAGGAUGUUCACAUGACCUGUUUUCAUGAGGAAGCACAAGACAAGCUAAAUAAAUGAAACUUGUGGAGCAUUAACAACAUGAUGCUGCUCCUCAGGGAAUUCAGGAGAGCUAACAUAUGUUUCAAAUCUAAACAACAUUCCAUGCGGCCACUACAGAACGUAAAUUACAGCAGUAGUCCUGACCACAAGUUUGCUCAGCUCCUUGGCUGAUGUGCCAUUAUGGCUGUGGCUGAGGUUUCAUUAGCACUUUGUGCAUCACAAAGAAAUGCAUAUUCAGGGUUAGGCACUGGGUGGUGCCGAAGAGCUAGUUAGCAGGAAAAUGUGAGGAUCUUCAGCUGACUGAUAUUCACCUUUUCUUGCAGCCAAUGGAGCAGGAUUCGUUCUUCAAAGUAAUUAAUCUGGUUGCCUACACCGAACCAGUCCCGGGUGCCAUCUUCCAGGAAGCAGCAGGGUGAUACUCGACAAAGGGGGAUUUCGAACCAUCAAAAACAGGUAAUUAAAGAAAAACUAUUAACAACGGGUGAUUGCAACAUGAAAUUAUUAACAACAAAUAGUUAGAACUCCAACUUAGCAGCAAUUGGUUUAACCUGUUAAUUCUGCAACCUUUAAAAAAAAUGGACAACUUUUCUGCUCAUAACAGCUGUAUCAGCUUUCUCAGUGGUUUAACAGAUUGCUAAUUCUCAAAGCUAAUUACUGAUUGUUUUUUUGUCAGACAUGGAGGAAACUGCUAGCAGCUUCUCUUAGAACAUCAUUUUUGUGAUGCAAAACCAGCAUAUUGAAAAUAAUUGCUGUAUUCUAAUACAAUGAAUAAUCAAUAGCAUAUUAAUAUGAAAUUAAAUAUAUAAAUCUAAGUAUGUUAAUUAGAAAGCAUUAUUAAUGUUUUCCAGGUGUGUUUUCUGGAUUAUGUCAUCACUUCCUUUCUUCAAGAAUUACACCUAUCUUGGAUUACUAUUUCAGUCUUCUUCAGCAUUUUAUGAGAUGAGCACACCACACAUAAGGUGCACAGACAUAAUUUUAGCCUCCCAAAACCUAUCUUUGCUACAGAAUUCCUGCUGGAAAUGUGAGGAUCUUUUAGGGUAACAACAUGUAAAAGACAGAAAAUAUGUCCCCAUCACCUCAUCCACAUAUAAAAUCUGACUUCAAACAAGAUUUUCUCUACACAUCAAUCCCUGCUUUUUACUGCAAAUGCUAGAGCCAAUGUCACUUUCUUCCUCUCAUCAUCAAUAGCAAAGUACAGAGGUCUUGCCCCACUAUCUCUCAAACAAACAGAAGAUUUUAUCUAGGUGAAAAGAAACCAAGCAGGCAUAGUCCUGAAAAACAGUGCCUUGUUUUGCAUUCUAAUCCAACAAGGUAAAGAUUUCUUGCACGCUUCAAUGGCUCGGCUUAAAAAGUGUAUCUGCAAAUUGGAAACUUUAGGUAAUAAGAAAUUUAGAAACUUCAGUCUCCAAUGUCUCCUGUUACCUAAUUUUAUCUGUGUGUAUACCAGAUAUUCAUACAUGCAGACACAAUAUAAUCUGGAGGUACAAUUAGAAAUCAAAUAUCUGUGGGUGAGUUUCAUUUUUUUUUCCAUGUAAUUAGCCUUCAAACACACCUUGGGUUUUUUUUUUUUCUUUAGGUAUUUCACUGUGUGCCACUCAGUUUACACUUUCCACAGGAAUAUUUUAGUGGAAGCUUGCUCACCACCCUUCAGACACAUUAAACAGAAAGAGGAAAUAAAUCACUCUUAAGUGGUAAUUAAAUGCUCAAAUAAUGGGUUUGAGCAUUGCACAUGCACAGCAGCUUGCUGCUUGGAAAGGCUAGUGAAAAGCUAAGCCAUCAGAGCAAAACUGUGAGCUGGAAAAGCAAACGCGGAUCCCCGUGGUUUCAGUGGCUGCAGCUGUGUGAGUGGAGCAGCAGGCCAACAGGCGGGUGGUGCAUGGUGUGUCCUGCAUGCACCUGGGGAAAGCCAAACAGCAUAUUUUCCUUUGACCAAGAUAUUUACAGAAAAGGCAAAUCUGGGAAUCUUAAGAUGCCCUCCCUGCUUGUUCCCCACAUACUGGAAGAAAGGCAAGAUUAUUAAACAAACUAACUUAGCGUAUGGUCCUUUGGAACCAUACUGUUAAUGAUUUUUAUCCUGGAAAUCAAUUAAAAGGCCUCCAUGUACUGGCUGAUUGCUCAGGCUGGAAGGGUUGGUGGUGCAUAUUGUUUAUGAUUAUUAGCAGUGUUCAGUAUUUCUUGUAGUGAAGUCAGUGGAGUAACAAAACUUCAGCACAAUCAUGAGUGCAUGCACUAUGAUCUUGAAAUUUUUAGUAGGAAUGAAGCUCUCAUUAACUUAAGAAAUAAUUACAUAUAAUGAGAAGAAACGUAGAGAAAGUGUGACAAAAUACUAACAAAAUGUAGAUUCUUAUACUGACAUAAUGUAUUAAUUUGUGUCCAUUUUAUUUUGAUGUGGAUAAUUGUGACAAUUCAUUGCAUUAGCAUCCAAAUUAUUUGGGGUUUUUGUCAAUAACAACCAUGAUCAAUGACCAAUCUUUGUCUUACAAUAAAAAUAUUAGCAUACGUUAGUGAAGUUUAAUUCCACCAGAUUUUUUCCUAUCACCACUUUGGCAAACAUGAUGGUGAUUGGAUUUUCUAUGCCCUUACUGAUGCACCAAAGCAUUUUGGUGAAUCAUACCACAGCUGAUUUAUGUUAUGACAGUCUCUUUCCAUAGAAACACUUUUCAGAGUCUUAUAUAUGGGUAGCUCUUUCUACAUAUUGUCACAAAAAUAAUGAGAAUUAAAUUAAAGCUGCUUUAGUAAUUCAUAAAGAAAUUACAUUUACCAACUUUUUUCUCAGUUCUUAGAUUAUCCCUUCAAGACCUAGCACUUCCAAUCAUGAGUAGAUCAGCAUGAGAUAAAUGCCAAGUGAUUUUCUAGAAAGCAGUGUGACAAGCACAAUGUAAGCCCAUUUUAGGUGAAAUGCAACGGUAUCAUUCAAUGUAAACUCUCUGACUCCCAGUGCCCACACUUUUCCUGUUAUUCUGUUGAAAAGCCUAAGCACAUUUCCUUUCAACAAUUGGCUAUAGUCACAUUUUGUCUGCCUUUUCUGAAGGGCAUUGAGUCCUGGCUGUUAAAAGGCAUAUAAAGAGAUAUAAGCAUCUAGGCUCUUGUGUCUUGAGUAUGGUAAAGGCUCCAGGUCAGGCACCUCUGCUCAGCUCAGGCAGAGCGAACCACAGCCAAAGAUGGGCACUAACAAAGGAGGCCCUGAAGCAAUGUGGUACUGGCACAGUUAAAGGAUGGCUUUUGUUGUUGUACACUUGCUUAGCAGAAGGUAUCUGGGCUUAACAUUUACUUUAUAGGUGUUGUCAAAAUAUUAGAGAAGAGCAGCUCUACUUAACCUUUUGCAGUGAGACCUGGGUUUAUGCUGUCUGCUUUUUGAGCUG